rnacentral:rRNA from 1 species
UUGAACGCUGGCGGCAGGCCUAACACAUGCCAGUCGAGCGGAUGAAGGGAGCUUGCUCCUGGAUUCAGCGGCGGACGGGUGAGUAAUGCCUAGGAAUCUGCCUGGUAGUGGGGGAUAACGUCCGGAAACGGGCGCUAAUACCGCAUACGUCCUGAGGGAGAAAGUGGGGGAUCUUCGGACCUCACGCUAUCAGAUGAGCCUAGGUCGGAUUAGCUAGUUGGUGGGGUAAAGGCCUACCAAGGCGACGAUCCGUAACUGGUCUGAGAGGAUGAUCAGUCACACUGGAACUGAGACACGGUCCAGACUCCUACGGGAGGCAGCAGUGGGGAAUAUUGGACAAUGGGCGAAAGCCUGAUCCAGCCAUGCCGCGUGUGUGAAGAAGGUCUUCGGAUUGUAAAGCACUUUAAGUUGGGAGGAAGGGCAGUAAGUUAAUACCUUGCUGUUUUGACGUUACCAACAGAAUAAGCACCGGCUAACUUCGU